AGAGAGAGACAUGCGCGCAUAUCAAUAAGCGGAGGAAAAGCGGGCUAUUACCUACGCUUAGGAUGUUGAAGAUGUAGCACAUCAUACACGCAUGACACACUGCAUAUCAAUAAGCGGAGGAAAAGAAACUAACAAGGAUUCCCCUAGUAACGGCGAGUGAAGCGGGAAGAGUUCAAAUUUGAAAUCUUAAAGGGUUUCCCUUUACGAAUUGUAGUUUAAAGAAGUGUUUUCUGUUGAGGUUUUGGUAAAAGUUCUUUGGAAUAGGACAUCAUAGAGGGUGAGAAUCCCGUAUUUGACCUUUACUUUCAACUUUGUGAUACACUUUCAAAGAGUCGGAUUGUUUGGGAAUGCAGUCCAAAAUGGGUGGUAAAUUUCAUCUAAAGCUAAAUAUUGGCGAGAGACCGAUAGCGAACAAGUACCGUGAGGGAAAGAUGAAAAGAACUUUGAAAAGAGAGUUAAACAGUACGUGAAAUUGUCAAAAGGGAAGCGCUUGACACCAGUGUUGUUUUUCUGAAAAUCAAUUAAAGAACUGUUUAUGCUAAGCUGUUUAGACUUUAUCAGCUAACUGUUUAGUUUUGAGCUUUUCUUUAAUGCACUUUUCAGUUAACAAGUCAACAUCAAUUUCUUUUGCUGUAAGAAAGCUUGAGGAAGGUGGCUUGAGAUUCGUCUUAAGUGUUUAUAGCCUCUUGCCUAUGCAGUCGGAGAGAUUGAGGUCUGCAGCGUAGAUCCUUCGGGGCUAAAUGCAUUUGUGCUAAGUUAUAGCAUUUUAUAGACAACUUGUUGACUAUGAUUUGUCUUGUAGCUUACUCGCUUAUGUUAUUUUACCUACGCUUAGGAUGUUGAGCGCAUGUCUCUCUCU
rnacentral:rRNA from 1 species